rnacentral:tRNA from 1 species
GAUUAUAUAACUUAAUUUAAAGUGUUAGAUUCUUACUCUAAAAAUGUUUUUAACUAUAAUUG